rnacentral:rRNA from 1 species
CGGCGAACGGGUGAGUAACACGUGGGCAACCUGCCCCUAACACUGGGAUAACCUCGGGAAACCGGGGCUAAUACCGGAUACGACCUCGAGCGGCAUCUCUUGAGGUGGAAUGCUCCGACGGUUAGGGAUGGGCCCGCGGCCUAUCAGCUUGUUGGUGGGGUAAUGGCCUACCAAGGCGACGACGGGUAGCCGGCCUGAGAGGGCGACCGGCCACACUGGGACUGAGACACGGCCCAG